UGAUGGUCCUGGUGUGGGAGAGCCAGCCCUGAGGGCAUGAAAGCCAGAAAACUGGCCCCGCCCUUGCUCAUUGCUCUAAGGGGUGAACUAGUCGGGCACUGCUGGAGAGCUCAAAGAACAGAGAGCUGGUGGCCUGACCAACCCUGCAACUACUCAGGUCCAGAACCAGGGUUCUGAGUUGGCCCACCCAUCAUUACCCCAUCUAUGAUCUGCUAGAGACCCAAAGCUGCAGAAUCUCCACAACACAGGGAAACAAUGGAUAUCCAAGAGGAGUCCCCGAGAGGGCCCAGCACUGACCGCAUGGCAGAAACCAGAGGCCUCAAACCAGACCACUGACUCUGUGCAAUGAACACCUGCAGGGCAUUCAAGGGGCAGAGGGCAGAUACGAAGGGGCAGGGAAAUGAACAGGAUCGAGAUGCAGGAUGUGAAAGACACAAAGAAUAAAUAAAAAGAAACUUGAAAAAAAAAAAAGAGGCAGACUCUGCUUUCUGGGAUGGUAGCAGCCUGCUACACAUCACCCUUCCCAGACUGGAACACAGGUAGAGAUGGCAUUCCACCAAACUGCCACAAAACGCAGAGGGGUCUUUCUCCACUUUAUCCCAGAUUGAAGGAACGGACGUGCUAUUUGGAUGCCACAUGUACUAAUGAAUUCCACUUUCAAGUAUCAGUAAAAACUGAUGCUUCUUA